rnacentral:rRNA from 1 species
AGGCAAAUCGGCGUGCUUACCAUAGCAGGGCGGACGAGGAACCCGAAGCUUGCUUUGGGGGAUUAGUGGCGAACGGGUGAGUAACACGUGAGCAACCUGCCCCUCACUCUGGGAUAAGCGCUGGAAACGGCGUCUAAUACUGGAUACGAGACGCGACCGCAUGGUCAGUGUCUGGAAAGAUUUUUUGGUGGGGGAUGGGCUCGCGGCCUAUCAGCUUGUUGGUGAGGUAAUGGCUCACCAAGGCGUCGACGGGUAGCCGGCCUGAGAGGGUGACCGGCCACACUGGGACUGAGACACGGCCCAGACUCCUACGGGAGGCAGCAGUGGGGAAUAUUGCACAAUGGGCGGAAGCCUGAUGCAGCAACGCCGCGUGAGGGAUGACGGCCUUCGGGUUGUAAACCUCUUUUAGCAGGGAAGAAGCGAAAGUGACGGUACCUGCAGAAAAAGCACCGGCUAACUACGUGCCAGCAGCCGCGGUAAU